UAUAAGUUAUAACAGGCUGAUUGAAAUAAGUCAAAAUAAUAUAUUAACAAAGAAGAUGAUUAGGCCACCAUCAAAAAGAAUUUCCGUCAAAGCUAAACUCCUCGCAAUUUCUAGUAUAAUGAGAUGAAAAUUAGAAGAAAUCGAGGCAUGUCAAAACCUCAUGGAGAAAGGAAUGAAAUUCAGGGAACAUGACACCUGCAACGUAGUUUCCAAAUUCUGGAACAAAUUAUAGAGUAAAGACAUUUCUAAACAUUCACCAGCCAGCUUUAUGCAACCAAAAGUAGUGGACAAGGACGGUGUGACUAAAGAUGCUACUUCUUUAGAGAGUAUUCAUUCUGCGCCCAUUUCCAAAUUAGAAGAAAUCGAGGUAUGUCAAAACCUCAUGGAGAAAGGAAUAAAAUCCAGGGAACAUGACACCUGCAACGUAGUUUCCAAAUUCUGGUUCUAAACAUUUUCACCAGCCAGCUUUAUGCAACCAAAAGUAGUGGAAAAGGACGGCGUGACUAAAGAUGCUACUUCUUUAGAGAGUAUUCAUUCUGCGCCCAUUUCUAGCAUCAGCUGAAUGCAUCACUGAUAGGCGGGAUUUUUUGCACCUUAUAUAUUAAUUGACUAAACCAAACAUCUUCAUAAAUUGAUGUAUACUUGUUAUCUAUAAUCUAGCAGAAGCUAAGGAUCCGCCAAAAAUAACCUUUGUAAUAUCAGCUAAGUAUAAUUGACCUCCCUCUAUCUCAGUAUGGCAAAUGGCGAGAAUUGGAGCCUCAUCCACUAGGUUUUUUUUGUUGUAUUGUUGUAUAGUUGUUGCUGAUUCUCUUCCAGUUACCUCCUACAAUUAGUUACUUAUGCGUACUAGAUUAAAGACUGAUACAAUAAGUAACUGCAUACAAGUUUUCAUGCUCAAAGUGGAUUACAUUUGUUAUGGAUACAAUAAGUUUAUAAGACGUGAAAGCUUGUGAUACGAUUGAGAAGGGGGUUAGACAACAUUAUAAGCUAUGGAAAGGACGUAUUGCCCCAAACCAUAAAGUACUAUACAAAUCAAGCCACCAUUUCCAAGGUUAACAAAAUACUCAUAAUAGUUAUUUGUUAGUCUAACUAUAUGGACAGGAUAAUCCCCUCAUAUCCCACCCUCUCAUAUGCAAACUACAAAGUGUGGCCACACUGUGAUUCAGUUUUGAUGCCAUUGCUAAGCGUUUAAUCUAUAAUUCCAAUUGGAGAUAUAGAAGAAAGAAAACUCAAUUUCUUGAGCAUAAGAGACUACUAGGGGUUUAGCGUACAUGGCUACAUGCAAGGGUAUUGUAAAUCUGUUAUUUUAUGGUAGUUUAUUUUGGUUUAGGAAACCAGUUAUUUCUUUACCAGUAGAGUUAUUCUGUAGCAAAAAGUUUAUCAAGGUAAUUCGACCCUGUUAAUUUUUUUUCCUCACCCCUUCAAGUUUAUUCAGCAUGCCUCUCCAUCCAGCAGCCCUGCAGCAGGCGUUAAUUCUGGUGGUUUAUUCUGGAAGGCAGCAGCUACUGGUCGAGUGGUGGUUGUUCGUGCACCUCAAAGGUUGGAUGGUUUGUUCUGUUCUUAGUCACAAGGGUGACUACCGCUACCAACUUGGACACUCCAGCGUGCUCAUUCUAUGGGCAGUUUGGACAUGAUUAUGACCGGUGUUAUCAACGAGUGGGCUUCCUCCUACGGGUGGUUGUGGUGGUCAUGGAGGCCGUCGUUGAGAGGGAGCCACUGGAACCGAGUAAGGCAGGCACAAGCAUCAGCCAAUGGUGCUCGUGUCCCACACCAACAGCCAUCCGAUGAUGCAGCAACUUCUAGCACCUCACCUCGCACCCUGCCAACAGCGACUCUGCACCUACGGGCUUCACCACCGAGCAAAUGCAGCAUAUUAUAACGAGUCUUCUUCAGCCUCUGAUAAGAUGUUUGGUAAGGAAAUUAAUAAUGUUUGUUUAUGCCUCCUUGACAGUGGUGCCUCGCACCAUAUGACAGGAAACUUGGACAAUUUAUAUGAUUGUUCAGCCUGCCACCUUGUCCUGUAAGUUUGCCAGAUGGUGCAAACUACGGUGGUAUCAAAAGGAAGCAUCCGUUUAAGUUCCGGAUUGGUGCUUCGGAGCAUUCUUUAUGUCCAUAAUUUAAAGUGCAAUUUGAUUGUUGUUGGCCAUCUUAUACUUGACUCACAGUGUUUUGUGACAUUUACUGAUCAUUUGUGUAUUGUACAAGACCGCACGUGGAGAAGGACGAUUGACCUAGGUGAACUUCGGAAUGGGGUGUACGUCUUUAUGUCUUAUGCCGGUGACUCAGCAAAUAUUGUCUAAUUCUGCAACUGUAGACACCAUAUCUCUUUUGCAUCAACGACUCGGACAUUCCUCGAGUCAAGCAUCUUUCUUAUGUCUCCAGUUAAAGUCGUAAGAGCAAUAUAAAGAAGCAUUUAGAUUCUUGUGAUGUAUGCUUUCGAACAAGCUCGUAUGGUGUUUCCUUUAAGUGAGAAUGAUGCAGCUAGUUUGUUUGGUUUAAAUUACUGUGAUUUAUGGGGACCAUAUACUAAGUUUACAUCCUCAGGAUCUCACUAGUUUUUGACAAUUGUGGAUGAUCAUUCUCGUGGUGUUUGGAUUUAUUUAAUUAAGGAGAAAAGUGACUUUCCUUCAUGUUUAAGAAAUUUUUCUGCCAUGGUGAAAACACAAUUUGAUAAAACUAUAUAAGUAUUUCGAUCGGAUAAUGAUACAUAAUUCACCAAGGGUUCCCUUCUACAGUUUUAUCUUGAAAAUGGCAUUUUAUUUCAAACAUCAUGUGUAAGUACUCGUCAACAGAACGCUCAGGGUGAACGAAAAUACCGUAAUAUUGUGGAGGUUGCAAGAGCAUUAAUGUUUCACGCUUCUCUUCCUAUUCGUUUUUGGGUGAACUCGGGGGUUUAGCCCUAGAACUUCUGUCAGGCAGCAGUACAUAUCAUUCACAGAACACCCACAAAACUACUUGAAGGAAGUGUCCAUAUGAAAAUUUAUUUGGUUCUUCUCCCAAUUUGGAGUUACUUCGAGUAGUUGGAUGUCUUUGUUAUGCUCACAACAAGCCUAGAAAGAAGGAUAAGUUUGGUCCCCGAAGUCAUAAAUGUGUUUUCUUGGCUUAGCCAUUCGGUACAAAAGGGUGGAAGGUCAUGGAUUUGGAAACCAAGAAGAUUUUUGUAUCAUGUGAUGUUGGGUUUUAGGAGGAUUCUUUUCGUUUUGCGAAUGUGCAGAUAAAGGAACUUCAUGGAUCACAUAAUGCCAUUUAUGCAGACUUAGAUUUUGCAACGUACGCCUCCUCAAAACCUCCUACGUCGCCUUCUACAACCAUGCCAACAUCCUCCAUUUCCGCCGAGAGGGAGAGUAUUAAGCCACCUCAAGAAGCUGCUCCUGCUCCAACUAUGCGUGUUUAUACACACCACCAAAGGAAGACUUCAUCCAACCAGGUGGCAGACGCUAGUGCCAGGUCUCAGACAACCCACCAUGUCAUAUAUUAAGCGAGAAUGGACCUGUGCUUGCUAGUUGCUACUGCAUCCAAUUCUUCAGUAGAGAACGCAAUCCCUCCUGCUACGACAGCCCCUGCGCCAACUAUGCGUGUUUUACACGCUGCCCAAGGAGCACUUUAUCCAAGCAGGUGGCAAACACUUGUGCCAGGUCUCACCACCUGCGAGCCCACCAUGUUCUUUAUUGAACGAGAAUGUAGCUACUGCACCCAGUUCUCCAGUAGAGAAUGCAAUCCCUUCCACUCGUGAGCCUGAAAAUGUCACAGUUCCAAGUGAUCAGCCUCGUGUUCGGCGUCCACCAUGUUGGUUAUCAGGUUAUAUUUGUCACUCGGCACAUACUAAACACCCCAUGUCCACUUCACCAGAGUCAUUGACUUCCUCAUGUACGCGAGUUACUGAUGCAGGGGGUCAUUUCAACAGCUCAUGUACAGACAAAGUUUCAGUUGGCAGAUUUGUUUACUAAGGCCCUUGGCGUUCCGGCCUUCACUUUUCUACUCUCCAAGUUGGGCGUUUGUGACCUUUACGCUCCCACUUGAGAGGGGGAGUAUUGUAAAUCUGUUUUUUUUUUUUUUGGGAAGUUUAUUUUGGUUUAGGAAACUAGUUAUUAUUUCCCAAUAGAGUUAUUCUGUAGCCAAAAAUUUAUCAAAGGGCGGCAUAGAGCAACCCAAUCAUGCCCACAAGCAUCAACAUCGCCUCUUCCACAAAGGUAACUUCAUUUAGAAAUAUCACUUUACUUUUCUUCAUAACUACAAAUAAUAUCCAAGGUUCAAAUCCUCUAAGAUGAUUGACCUAUGUAAUUAAGAUGAUUGCAAUAUUUGUGGUGUAUUGACAUACCAACUGAUUGUUUUCACAAACUCUCAAAGACAGUCUAUUUGUCUAACCAUGAGAAGCAUUUGAGUGACUUUAGUAGGCUUUGGUUUUCAACAGAAAUCAAAUAGUAGACUAAAACAGAAUGCAAGCACGUUAUUUAGCACACAACCCACACACGCAAGUUCAUCAAGCAGGCAAAUAAUUCGACAGAAUGAAAACAAAAGCAAUACAAAUAGGCAAGUUCUCAAUUGAUACUUUAUCACUAUUUAUCUCGAAAGGUCACUUUUUGUUUGCGCUACUUUUUACAUGAUUCCUUUAUCUAGUAAGGUAAGACGGUAUUUUUGUCGACCUACUAAUAAAAAUGAUAAGAUACCAACUGACCUCAGAAGAGGAAAAGGAAGUGGGCUUAUUUUCAGACAUGAAUUCACCAGCACCAAUACCAUCUUCUCUUUCUUCCACUACUAUCUCUUUCUCUUUUUCUUUCGUGGCCAAAUUCGAGUCUUUGGACGAGCUUCCAGCAUCAGCAUCUUCAUCACUAUCUUUACUGAAACACAGUAAUCGAUCAAAUAAACCCCCAUUUUUGUGGGUACUUAAGAACUCCCUUCUCCACCCUUU